CCAUACCCUGGUUCACCUCUCUGCCUUCAUCCCUACAUCUGUUCACUCCCACUCCCUCCCAAAGCCUUCUUCAGUCCUUCCCCUGAAGCUCUUUACUGGCUACAAACCCUCUUACUCCUUGCCUCUACAGUAAAUGGAGAGUGGGAGGCCUGGGGAAAAUGGAGUCACUGCAGCCGUGUGAGAAUGAAGUCCAUCAGCUGUGAUGAAAUCCCAGGCCAGCAGUCACGUUCAAGGAGCUGUGGUGGCCGCAAAUUUGAUGGGCAGCCAUGUACUGGGAAACUCCAAGAUAUUCGACACUGCUAUGACAUCCAUAACUGUGUCUGUGAGUGACCCACAGGCAGCACAGUGAGAGUGGACAACCAUGUAGUAGCUAUGCUGGGUACCCUAUGCCCCUUCAGUCUCCUUUUCUCAUUGAGACCUCCAGUUUUGACUAUAUGACAUUCUACUACCCAUUGCCAUUGCAGUGAAAGGUUCAUGGUCACAGUGGAGUACCUGGGGUCUGUGCACACCACCAUGUGGACCCAACCCCACCCGUGUCCGUCAGCGACUCUGCACACCUUUGCUCCCCAAGUACUCGUGAGUUGGGGAACAUUGUGUUUCUAGGAGGGGGUCAUGAUGCUGAAGGAUAUGAGGGGAAUUGGUUAUACUGAACUGGAGCUUAGCCCCUGGAUCAAAAGUGCCUACCUUGCCAGUGCCAUCUCCUACCUUAGAGAAGAGGAGAGAAACAAAAGAAAGAGGAGAAGCAAUUAGGGAAGACUUCACAGCCUCAGUUUCUAAUGCAGCCACCUAGCUGGACUCCCAUGCACACAAUCCUUCAUGUGGCCUUCUCACUGACCUCUUAGCAUACUUUUGAGUUACUCAGUCAUCCAUGCCCUCCAUUUAUCCACUCCACAUUUCACUACCUUGAAGUACUCCAAGGCCUUUCUAGCAACACUCACUAAAAAAGAACCCAAAUCUAUGGGUAGAAGGUACCCAGGUGAGUUGUGAUAAAAUGCAUAUAAAAAUGACAGGUGAGUAGCAAUGAGACUUGCACUACCCUCUGGACCUAGAAAACUAAUUAGGCCUUUCUGGAGAAGCCUUCCUGACAUCCAGAUAGUGAGCAGGUUCUAGACAGAGCUGAUUAGCCACCUUCAGUGUUUACUGGACACCACAGUGGCCCAGGAGUUAGAAAGGGUUAAGUUACCCAUCCCUUCUUACACCACAUAAAUAAGGUUAAAUGGUCUUUUUCCAGCUGUUAAGUGGCCUAUCACUGGGAUAGGAUUUUCCAGAUGUGGGGGAUCAGACUGGUUCCUGAAGUUAGGAACCAGUUUUUAAUUUCCUAAGUUUCCCACAUAGUUAGAGGCUGUGUGGAAAAAGACCAAUUGAGAGAGUCUGGGUGAAAAUGAAUAGUGAGCUUGCCUACAAGGAGAAAUCUUACUGGAAAAAACCUUCCUGGAUAUAAGGUUCUAUUUGUGUAAAGUGAGGAGGGACAAAGAAAAGAGAAAGGAAAAGGAAGAAGAGAGGAGUAGUGGCUUGAGAUAGGCAU
rnacentral:lncRNA from 1 species